rnacentral:rRNA from 1 species
AUUGAACGCUAGCGGGAUGCUUUACACAUGCAAGUCGAACGGCAGCGCGGACUUCGGUCUGGCGGCGAGUGGCGAACGGGUGAGUAAUGUAUCGGAACGUGCCCAGUAGCGGGGGAUAACUACGCGAAAGCGUAGCUAAUACCGCAUACGCCCUACGGGGGAAAGCAGGGGAUCGUAAGACCUUGCACUAUUGGAGCGGACGAUAUCGGAUUAGCUAGUUGGUGAGGUAACGGCUCACCAAGGCGACGAUCCGUAGCUGGUUUGAGAGGACGACCAGCCACACUGGGACUGAGACACGGCCCAGACUCCUACGGGAGGCAGCAGUGGGGAAUUUUGGACAAUGGGGGCAACCCUGAUCCAGCCAUCCCGCGUGUGCGAUGAAGGCCUUCGGGUUGUAAAGCACUUUUGGCAGGAAAGAAACGUCGCGGGCUAAUACCCCGUGGAACUGACGGUACCUGCAGAAUAAGCACCGGCUAACUACGUG